rnacentral:rRNA from 1 species
UUAAAUUGAAGAGUUUGAUCAUGGCUCAGAUUGAACGCUGGCGGCAGGCCUAACACAUGCAAGUCGAGCGGCAGCGGGGAAGUAGCUUGCUACUUUUGCCGGCGAGCGGCGGACGGGUGAGUAAUGCCUGGGGAUCUGCCCAGUCGAGGGGGAUAACAGUUGGAAACGACUGC